UUACCUACAAGCAUCUCCUCAACCCACUUUUCAGGAGAAGACUUGCUUCUAAUUUCAGGAAGAAUAUAGGCACAAUCAGAAGAGCAUAUCCUCGUAUCACCAAUCCUUUGUAACUGCCGGGAAUUCUGUUGCCUGGAGACCACUCUUGAAGAACAGCCACUGCCAUGGCCUCUUGGAGAUUUAAGACAUCUAAUAAGGAGCUGACAGAAAUCAUCAGCUUGCCCCUGAGAAAGUAGCAUUUUUUAAAAGUCACAAUAAAGCAUUUGUCUGGAUAUUACCUAUUUCAGCCCAGAGGAAUUUUGAAGCAGCAAAUUCAAUAAAAUGACAUAAGGUCAACUGUGGAAAAAAAUCAAUGAUAAAGGAGAUAAAACACAGCUACGAGAACACCAUAUCGCAAAAUCAGCAAAAUGAAAUGGCGACCUACAGAAUGGGAGAAAAUAUUUGCAAAUCAUUUAUCCGGAAAAAUGCUUGUAUUUAUUGUACUUAACUCCUAAGGUUGUUACAAGGAUGAAAUAAGUAGGAGAGGACUCAGGUGAAUGAGGAAUCAGACAUAUCGGCAAAGGCAAAGAAGAAAACAGGAAGAGAUAGACUAAAAUCUUUGUUCCUGUUUGGAAGAAAUUCAAUUCAUUGCUUUAGCAGAUUAAGGUAGGAUUUAUAAUGUUUUUCUCUCUUUUCUUUUUGGAGCUCCUUGUUAGCUGUUUUGUCCUUCGGGAAAGGAUAUGGGGUGGUAUGGAUUGAAAAGUUUACACUGUCAU